rnacentral:rRNA from 1 species
UACGAGGGGGGCAAAUGUUGUUCGGAUUUACUGGGCGUAAAGGGCGCGUAGGCGGCCACCGCAAGUCGGUUGUGAAAUCUCCGGGCUUAACCCGGAAAGGUCAAUCGAUACUGCGGGGCUAGAGUGCAGAAGGGGCAACUGGAAUUCUCGGUGUAGCGGUGAAAUGCGCAGAUAUCAGGAGGAACACCGGUGGCGAAGGCGGGACUCUGGGCCGAUACUGACGCUGAGGAGCGAAAGCGUGGGGAGCGAACAGG